GGAGGCGUGCCAGAGCUUGGUUGAAUGGGCCUGACUCGAAAUCAGGUAUGCCCGAAAGGGCAUCAGGGGUUCGAAUCCUCUCGCCUCCG
rnacentral:tRNA from 1 species